GACAUGCAGAGAACUUUCCAGAGAUGGAUUGGUGGCCUUCGGGAACGUCUGACACAGGUGCUGCAUGGCUGUCGUCAGCUACGUGUCGUGAGAUGUUGGGUUAAGUCCCGUAACGAGCGCAACCCUUGUCCUUAGUUACCAGCACGUUAUGGUGGGCACUCUAAGGAGACUGCCGGUGACAAACCGGAGGAAGGUGGGGAUGACGUCAAGUCAUCAUGGCCCUUACGGUCUGGGCUACACACGUGCUACAAUGGUCGGUACAAAGGGUUGCCAAGCCGCGAGGUGGAGCUAAUCCCAUAAAACCGAUCGUAGUCCGGAUCGCAGUCUGCAACUCGACUGCGUGAAGUCGGAAUCGCUAGUAAUCGUGAAUCAGAAUGUCACGGUGAAUACGUUCCCGGGCCUU
rnacentral:rRNA from 1 species